rnacentral:rRNA from 1 species
UACAGAGGUCCCAAGCGUUGUUCGGAUUCACUGGGCGUAAAGGGUGCGUAGGUGGCUUUGCAAGUCUGAUGUGAAAGCUCGGAGCUCAACUCCGAAAUGGCAUUGGAUACUGCGGAGCUUGAGGUUCGGAGGGGAGACUGGAAUUCUUGGUGUAGCAGUGAAAUGCGUAGAUAUCAAGAGGAACACCGGUGGCGAAGGCGAGUCUCUGGACGAAAUCUGACACUGAGGCACGAAAGCUAGGGGAGCAAACAGG